CGCAUCUGUGCAUGCAGCAUAUCAAUAAGCGGAGGAAAAGAAACUAACAAGGAUUCCCUUAGUAACGGCGAGUGAAGCGGGAAGAGCUCAAAUUUGAAAUCUUCAAAGUUUUACCUUGACGAAUUGUAGUUUAAAGAAGUGUUUUCUGUUGAAGUUUUGGUAAAAGUUCUUUGGAAUAGGACGUCAUAGAGGGUGAGAAUCCCGUAUUUGACCAUUAUUUUCAGCUGUGUGAUACACUUUCAAAGAGUCGGAUUGUUUGGGAAUGCAGUCCAAAAUGGGUGGUAAAUUUCAUCUAAAGCUAAAUAUUGGCGAGAGACCGAUAGCGAACAAGUACCGUGAGGGAAAGAUGAAAAGAACUUUGAAAAGAGAGUUAAACAGUACGUGAAAUUGUCAAAAGGGAAGCGUUUGACACCAGUGUUGUUUUCUCGAAAAUCAAUUAAAAAGAGUUGGAUUUUGUUGUGUAUUGACCUUAACAGCUUGCAUUUCAAUUUUCAUUGCUUUUUUUAAUGCACUUUUCGUUUAACAAGUCAACAUCAGUUUCUUUUGUUGUAAAAAGGUCAUUGGAAGGUGGCUUUCUUUUCGGAGAAAGUGUUUAUAGCCUUUGACUCCUGCAAUCGGAGAGACUGAGGUCUGCAGCGUAGAUCCUUCGGGGUUAGAUACAUUUGUGCUAAGUUAUAGCUUUUUAUAGACAACUUGUUGACUAUGAUUAGUCUUGUAGCUUACUCGCUUAUGCUAUUUUACCUACGCUUAGGAUGUUGACGCGCGUGUGUGCGUG
rnacentral:rRNA from 1 species